CCGUCUGCGUCUGCGUCCGCGCGCGCCCCCCAACGGCCGGCCUCGACGCGCGCGGUUGUUCGGUCGGUCGGUCGGUCUGUCAGAAGCUGUUCUCCGAUCCCCCAUUGACAACACUGCCUCCCUCAGGCAGCAGCACUGCUCCUCUCACAGCGCUCCUGACAACCGGACCAUGUGAAGCAGAAAAGGCUCGGGCGCCUGCAGAAAUGAAAUGCACAUCAAUGAGAAAUUUGGUAUAUAAGGAGCAGAUGAAACUUUGUUUGCCAAACCCGUACAUCUUUGGAAUGUGGGAGGAAACCGGAGCAUCUGGAGAAAACCUACGCGGUCACAGGGAGAACGUACAAACUGUACAGACAGCACCCGUCGUCAGGAUCGAACCCGGUCUUUGAUGCAGCAACUCUACGGAUGUGCCACUGUGUCGCACCUUUAUUUGUGAUUCUGAGCUGGGCCUGGAUUUUACUGUGCUAAAUAAACACAAGCCAGAAGCUAUCCUAUGGUCAUCUCCCCCAUGGCGUCCAAGGAAAACAAAGCUUUUCAAUGUACCUUGGUGAUAAUAAUAAUAAACGUAAGCCAUUAUCUUAGCCUUAAACGUAGAUACAGACUACAUAAACAAAUAUACCAAAAAUCAUCUUUCAGAGAGCAGAUUGUCAUAGAAUCAUAGCUGUACAGCAUGGAAAUAGGCGCUUCACAUUGUCCAUGCCGACCAUGUUUAACAUACACAGCUAGUCCCAUUUGUCUGCAUUUAGCCCAUAUCCCUCCAAACCCUUCCUAUCGAUAUAUCUGUCCAACUAUCUUUCAAAAAAAAAAAAAAUUGUAUCUGCUUCCAUAGCUUCCUCUGGCAGCUCGUCCCAGAUACGGACUACCCUCCGAGUGAAAAAGUUGCCCCUGAGGUCCCUCUUAAAUCUC